UUUCCUACGGGGGGCAGCAGUGGGGAAUAUUGGACAAUGGGGGAAACCCUGAUCCAGCGACGCCGCGUGAGUGAAGAAGUAUUUCGGUAUGUAAAGCUCUAUCAGCAGGGAAGAAAAUGACGGUACCUGACUAAGAAGCUCCGGCUAAAUACGUGCCAGCAGCCGCGGUAAUACGUAUGGAGCAAGCGUUAUCCGGAUUUACUGGGUGUAAAGGGAGCGUAGGCGGCCCUGUAAGUCUGAUGUGAAAAUUUGGGGCUCAACCCCAAACGUGCAUUGGAAACUGCAGGGCUUGAGUGCCGGAGAGG
rnacentral:rRNA from 1 species